UACAGAGGCCUCGAGCGUUAGGCGGAAUCACUGGGCUUAAAGCGUGUGUAGGCGGACUUCUAAGUACCUUGUGAAAUCCCACGGCUCACCCGAGGAACUGCUUGGUAUACUGGUUGUCUUGAGCCUUCUAGGGGCGAGUGGAACAAAUGGUGGAGCGGUGAAAUGCGUAGAUAUCAUUUGGAACGCCAAUGGUGAAAACAACUCGCUGGGGAAGUGCUGACGCUGAGACACGAAAGCCAGGGGAGCGAACGGG
rnacentral:rRNA from 1 species